rnacentral:tRNA from 1 species
GCGGCGCUGGCCGGCGGCAAGCGGCUGCGGCCGUUCCUGGUGAUCGAAAGCGCGGCGCUGUUCGGCGUGCCGAUGUCGCGC